CACACACACGCACAUAUAUAUAUAUAUAUAUAUAUAUAAUAAUGUUUGAAUGGUUAAGUUCAGGCUUAUAAUUUUCAAUGAAGAAUGUUUCCUUGUUUAAUCUAAUUAGUGUUGGUGUUCCAAUAGCAUAUUGAUAGAAUGGAAAGAUUAAAAAUUGUGGUAGUUGUUGCUUUGCGCAUUUCUCA